UACGUAGGGGGCAAGCGUUGUCCGGAUUCAUUGGGCGUAAAGAGCGUGUAGGCGGCCAGAAAAGUCCGCUGUGAAAACUCGAGGCUCAACUUCGAGCUGUCGGUGGAAACUUUCUGGCUAGAGUCCGGAAGAGGAGAAUGGAAUUCCCGGUGUAGCGGUGAAAUGCGCAGAUAUCGGGAGGAACACCAGCGGCGAAGGCGGCACUCUGGGCUGGUACUGACGCUGAGGAGCGAAAGCGUGGGUAGCAAACAGG
rnacentral:rRNA from 1 species